rnacentral:tRNA from 1 species
AGAGAGGUGGGUGAGUGGCUGAAACCAACACACUGCUAACGUGUCAGACUUAAUCGUCUCGCGGGUUCGAACCCCGCCCUCUCUG